rnacentral:rRNA from 1 species
GGCGGCGUGCCUAAUACAUGCAAGUCGAGCGGAAAUUUUAUUGGUGCUUGCACCUUUAAAAUUUUAGCGGCGGACGGGUGAGUAACACGUGGGUAACCUACCUUAUAGAUUGGGAUAACUCCGGGAAACCGGGGCUAAUACCGAAUAAUACUUUUUAACACAUGUUUGAAAGUUGAAAGACGGUUUCGGCUGUCACUAUAAGAUGGACCCGCGGCGCAUUAGCUAGUUGGUGAGGUAACGGCUCACCAAGGCAACGAUGCGUAGCCGACCUGAGAGGGUGAUCGGCCACACUGGGACUGAGACACGGCCCAGACUCCUACGGGAGGCAGCAGUAGGGAAUCUUCCACAAUGGACGAAAGUCUGAUGGAGCAACGCCGCGUGAGUGAAGAAGGAUUUCGGUUCGUAAAACUCUGUUGCAAGGGAAGAACAAGUAGCGUAGUAACUGGCGCUACCUUGACGGUACCUUGUUAGAAAGCCACGGCUAACUACGUGCCAGCAGCCGCGGUAAUACGUAGGUGGCAAGCGUUGUCCGGAAUUAUUGGGCGUAAAGCGCGCGCAGGUGGUUCCUUAAGUCUGAUGUGAAAGCCCCCGGCUCAACCGGGGAGGGUCAUUGGAAACUGGGGAACUUGAGUGCAGAAGAGGAUAGUGGAAUUCCAAGUGUAGCGGUGAAAUGCGUAGAGAUUUGGAGGAACACCA